AUAUCCCUGCUGUGUGCGUGUGAUAUCGCAGUUUUGAGCCAACAUUCAAACUUUGGGAGUUUUUACUCUCAACUCGGCGCGAAACCUUAUUAGGUAUGCAAUGUUUUGAGGAGGACACCCACCUGCCAUUGCAGGAUCAAAACGCGAUAUUUUUACGGCAUGGUGGGGUUAAC
rnacentral:other from 1 species